rnacentral:tRNA from 1 species
AAUGAAGUGCCUGAAAAAAGGGUUAUUUUGAUAGAAUAAAUUAUGUAGUCGAACCACCUUCAUUA